AAAAUGUAUUAAUUAUUUAAAGAUGUUAUUAUUGAUUUAAUUUUGUUACGUAGAACGGAUCGCAUUGUUUUGACAACAGCAACAGAGUACUUGUAUCAAAUAUCAACAAUUGAAAAUUUUGCCUAAAGUGUUGUAUAUGUUCGGAACGAAUACAACCAAAAUCCUUCCAUCCUGUACGGUCAGUGAGAAUGAAUUCAAAAGAAGGAACCGUAUUUUGAAACACACGGUAUUAAAUGUGAUCCUGCCGCUGAUCAUUACAAACUUGCAACCUUAUAACAACAGAGGAUCGCCAAACCUACCGCAAUUGCAAAUACUUAUUGCAUUAAGGCAUAAAAAUGCAACUGGAUGUUUUCAGAUGGUGUGUGGUGAUCUAAACAGCAUAAGCCAAUCUACAGUCUGUUUAAUUAUAAAUAAAGUCUCUGCAGAGUUGAGUAAAUUACUUCCUAGAUUUGUAAAUUUUCCAAGAAAUAUGAACACAGCCAAAAGGAAGUUUGAAGAAUUAGGAAGAUCUAAUACUCACCAUGACCUAAACAGUAUAAUCAGAGAUAUUGACUGCACCCAUAUAAAAAUUAAUAGACCCAAAGGUAUCACUCACUCGGAAGCAUACAGAAAUAAAAAAGGGUAAUUUUCUGUAAAUGUGGAAGCAAUAAUAGGGCCUGAUAUGGAAAUAUUUGUUAUAGUGACCAGGUGGCCUGGCAGUUCACACGACAGCAGGAUAUUUAGAAACUGCCAGGCGUAUGCAAGGCUGCUAAAUGGUGAACUAGAAGGAGUUUUAGUAGGUGACAGCGGUUAUCCGGCACUUAACUUCAUGUUAACAACACUUUUAUAUCCAACGACAAGAGCUGACAAUAAUUAUAAUUAUUCUCAAAUAAGAACUAGGCAUAUUGUUGAAAGGGUUUUCGGAGUGUGGAAAAGGAAAUUUCCAUGUUUACAGCUAGGACUAUAGUCAAAAUUGACAAAUACUAGUUAUAUAUAAUUAUAGCUUGUGCUGUAUUAUAUAGGUAUACAGAGUGGGGAUGCUUAUGACGAUGGUGAUCUUGCUGACACCAGAAGUUGAGUAACACAGAAACAAUGAAAGAUCUCCUACAGGUCUAGCAUUCUGGCAAUCUGUGAUUGCACAAUUGAACUAGGUAAUUGGUUUGGUAAUAAAGAAUAUCAAAACAAAA